rnacentral:rRNA from 1 species
UACGGGGGGGGCAAGCGUUGUUCGGAAUCAUUGGGUUUAAAGGGUCCGUAGGCGGUUUUGUAAGUCAGUGGUGAAAGCCCAUCGCUCAACGGUGGAACGGCCAUUGAUACUGCAAGACUUGAAUUAUUAGGAAGUAACUAGAAUAUGUAGUGUAGCGGUGAAAUGCUUAGAGAUUACAUGGAAUACCAAUUGCGAAGGCAGGUUACUACUAAUGGAUUGACGCUGAUGGACGAAAGCGUGGGGAGCGAACAGG